rnacentral:lncRNA from 1 species
GCCACUGUACCCGGCCUGUACAGGCUGUAUUUUUCUUCCUUCAUCAAUGCAUGCAGAGGUUUGUUUUCUGAGAUGUUAAGCAAGCUUUUGGGAUGCUUCUUGGGAAGUCAGCAAAGCCAGGGCUUCCUUCAUCCCGCUGAAGGUGGUGGGAUGGUUUCUGGAAAGUACUAGCUAUUUCUUUCCCAUGCUAAGCCUCUUGGGAUCACUUUGCCAGUCAAAGCCUGUGCUCCCUGCAUAAUCAGAGAGGAAUGCUGUAAAGAGGCGAUGGUGAUUGACAGCAGCUUCUAGGUGCACCGCCUGCAUGCACGCCUGCUACGAACAUCUGAACAAUUACAGGAAGGAGGCUGUCGAAAUGCAUAAUUAUAACCUUGACUUAGAAAAAGCAUGAUCUUCUCUGGUUGGGGCCGAGGCUUUCCUUACGUUAAGCGCAUUCCCAGACCAGCAACUGGAGUGCUCCGUACAUUGGACGUGGCAGCAUCUGGAAUAUUACAUAACAGAAGCAUGUCCAUUGCCCUUGGAACGUAUGAGGCUCGGGGACAGUCCUCCACUCGGUGGAGACUACAAGGUCUCAUUAAUGAGUCACCUUUGUUCCCUUUUCCAUCCUUUAUAAUUAGGGUGACAUACAUUCCAUUUGGCCCAGGACAGUCUCCAUAUGUGCCUACUGAACGAAGGUGGUAAUUAACAAGGCCUCCUUCACUCUCCGAAGGGACCUGACUGGGAGAUAAACUCAGAGAUCACUGAUUUGUAAUCCUCAAGGAGGACGGAGACAACGCCCAGGUGGCCAUGGGCACCCUUGAAAGACCGCCUAGUUUGAAACUACACGAAGGAGACUCUUUCUUUUCGUUCCUACCCAGCGCUCAAUAGCUGUGUGACCUUGGCAAGUGAUCGUCCCUGAGCCUCCAUCCCUGUCUUUAAAGUGGAGAUAAGGAUGCCAGUCUCAGAAACUGUUCUGAGGAUUAAAUACCCAGAGCCUGGUGCCUGGAGCCUGGACCCCGGAGCCCGGAGCCUGGCGUGGGCUAAGUGGUCCUGAAGUGGAAGUGAGUUUUUGUUUGUGGCUCUUUGUUCUUUCCCCUGUGGGUCCACGGUGGUUGGCUGAAUAAAUUAGAUUCUCCCCUGCCCCAGACUCUCAAGUCAUUAAAGCUCUUCAUUGAUCA